UUCUGUGACCGCGGUUUUCAAGACAACCUGCAUAACAGAAAGAAACACCUUAACGGCGUCCAGCAUCACCGGGCGAAAAAAAGCCUGCUUUGACAUCUUCAGAGGUAAUAACAGAAAACUUCACAGAGCAGUAGGAGUCUAUUAAACAAUUCAUUUGAGAAAAAAAAAUCAGACGCUGCCACAAUUUUAAAUGAAGAGCGGACAAAGGAGCCAUGCAGAAACUUUCUUCAGACAGAAACUUUAACAGUUUGUUAGACGGAGUACAUUGUGGCAAUUUCAUGUCAGUCAGAUGAAAAGCGGCAGAAGGAAGACCCUGACCAAGAUGGAUCAUCUAAUGAGCGCUGCAUUGAUGAAUGGCUUUCCAGAGGAGAGAAGAAACUGGCUGCUUUGACAUCAGGAAGAGUUUUAAAGACUGAAGAGGAAGAAUGUGUUGAAAACAUUGAGAUACCUCCGUAUUUGCUGUCUAUUCCAGAUCUUCCUCCAUUUCUUCAUCCCCCAACAACUGGUGGUUGGAGAGUGACACAAUGAAUUGGGUUGAAAUGUAAUUAUAAAAGUUUUUUUUUAAAGACCAUGCUACUAACUAUUAUCAUUACUAAGCCUUUUUAAGCCUCUCAGGCUUUCCAAGAUGUAGAUAAUUUCUUCCUUGUAAUGUAAUUUCUCCAAAUUUAUUCCAUCACUUUCUUACCAUUAGAUAGAUCCUCUGCAGUGAAUAAGUGCAAUACAUUGAUGAGCGAGUAAUGCAAAAUUCCUCCAAAUCUGACCAGAUGAAGAAAAAAACUCAUCUACAUCUUGAAAGGCUUGAGGGUGAGUAAAUUUUCUGAUAAUUUUCCUUUUUGGAUUAAACUAUUUCUAAAAGGGAGAACAAUACCCACAUUUGUAUCAAACUGUAAAGCAUUACAAGUUGAGAUGCAUGGUGAAAAAAUGCAAUGAACUUGUAUGGCAUGAACAAAAAUCAUGUUUUGCAUGAAUAAACAAGUUUACUUUGUGGACAGUUAA